AGCGUACACGGUGGAUGCCCUGGCAGUCAGAGGCGAUGAAGGACGUGCUAAUCUGCGAUAAGCGUCGGUAAGGUGAUAUGAACCGUUAUAACCGGCGAUUUCCGAAUGGGGAAACCCAGUGUGUUUCGACACACUAUCAUUAACUGAAUCCAUAGGUUAAUGAGGCGAACCGGGGGAACUGAAACAUCUAAGUACCCCGAGGAAAAGAAAUCAACCGAGAUUCCCCCAGUAGCGGCGAGCGAACGGGGAGCAGCCCAGAGCCUGAAUCAGUGUGUGUGUUAGUGGAAGCGUCUGGAAAGGCGCGCGAUACAGGGUGACAGCCCCGUACACAAAAAUGCACAUGCUGUGAGCUCGAUGAGUAGGGCGGGACACGUGGUAUCCUGUCUGAAUAUGGGGGGACCAUCCUCCAAGGCUAAAUACUCCUGACUGACCGAUAGUGAACCAGUACCGUGAGGGAAAGGCGAAAAGAACCCCGGCGAGGGGAGUGAAAAAGAACCUGAAACCGUGUACGUACAAGCAGUGGGAGCACGCUUAGGCGUGUGACUGCGUACCUUUUGUAUAAUGGGUCAGCGACUUAUAUUCUGUAGCAAGGUUAACCGAAUAGGGGAGCCGAAGGGAAACCGAGUCUUAACUGGGCGUUAAGUUGCAGGGUAUAGACCCGAAACCCGGUGAUCUAGCCAUGGGCAGGUUGAAGGUUGGGUAACACUAACUGGAGGACCGAACCGACUAAUGUUGAAAAAUUAGCGGAUGACUUGUGGCUGGGGGUGAAAGGCCAAUCAAACCGGGAGAUAGCUGGUUCUCCCCGAAAGCUAUUUAGGUAGCGCCUCGUGAAUUCAUCUCCGGGGGUAGAGCACUGUUUCGGCAAGGGGGUCAUCCCGACUUACCAACCCGAUGCAAACUGCGAAUACCGGAGAAUGUUAUCACGGGAGACACACGGCGGGUGCUAACGUCCGUCGUGAAGAGGGAAACAACCCAGACCGCCAGCUAAGGUCCCAAAGUCAUGGUUAAGUGGGAAACGAUGUGGGAAGGCCCAGACAGCCAGGAUGUUGGCUUAGAAGCAGCCAUCAUUUAAAGAAAGCGUAAUAGCUCACUGGUCGAGUCGGCCUGCGCGGAAGAUGUAACGGGGCUAAACCAUGCACCGAAGCUGCGGCAGCGACGCUGAUGCGUUGUUGGGUAGGGGAGCGUUCUGUAAGCCUGCGAAGGUGUGCUGUGAGGCAUGCUGGAGGUAUCAGAAGUGCGAAUGCUGACAUAAGUAACGAUAAAGCGGGUGAAAAGCCCGCUCGCCGGAAGACCAAGGGUUCCUGUCCAACGUUAAUCGGGGCAGGGUGAGUCGACCCCUAAGGCGAGGCCGAAAGGCGUAGUCGAUGGGAAACAGGUUAAUAUUCCUGUACUUGGUGUUACUGCGAAGGGGGGACGGAGAAGGCUAUGUUGGCCGGGCGACGGUUGUCCCGGUUUAAGCGUGUAGGCUGGUUUUCCAGGCAAAUCCGGAAAACUAAGGCUGAGGCGUGAUGACGAGGCACUACGGUGCUGAAGCAACAAAUGCCCUGCUUCCAGGAAAAGCCUCUAAGCAUCAGGUAACAUCAAAUCGUACCCCAAACCGACACAGGUGGUCAGGUAGAGAAUACCAAGGCGCUUGAGAGAACUCGGGUGAAGGAACUAGGCAAAAUGGUGCCGUAACUUCGGGAGAAGGCACGCUGAUAUGUAGGUGAAGUCCCUCGCGGAUGGAGCUGAAAUCAGUCGAAGAUACCAGCUGGCUGCAACUGUUUAUUAAAAACACAGCACUGUGCAAACACGAAAGUGGACGUAUACGGUGUGACGCCUGCCCGGUGCCGGAAGGUUAAUUGAUGGGGUCAGCGCAAGCGAAGCUCUUGAUCGAAGCCCCGGUAAACGGCGGCCGUAACUAUAACGGUCCUAAGGUAGCGAAAUUCCUUGUCGGGUAAGUUCCGACCUGCACGAAUGGCGUAAUGAUGGCCAGGCUGUCUCCACCCGAGACUCAGUGAAAUUGAACUCGCUGUGAAGAUGCAGUGUACCCGCGGCAAGACGGAAAGACCCCGUGAACCUUUACUAUAGCUUGACACUGAACAUUGAGCCUUGAUGUGUAGGAUAGGUGGGAGGCUUUGAAGUGUGGACGCCAGUCUGCAUGGAGCCGACCUUGAAAUACCACCCUUUAAUGUUUGAUGUUCUAACGUUGACCCGUAAUCCGGGUUGCGGACAGUGUCUGGUGGGUAGUUUGACUGGGGCGGUCUCCUCCUAAAGAGUAACGGAGGAGCACGAAGGUUGGCUAAUCCUGGUCGGACAUCAGGAGGUUAGUGCAAUGGCAUAAGCCAGCUUGACUGCGAGCGUGACGGCGCGAGCAGGUGCGAAAGCAGGUCAUAGUGAUCCGGUGGUUCUGAAUGGAAGGGCCAUCGCUCAACGGAUAAAAGGUACUCCGGGGAUAACAGGCUGAUACCGCCCAAGAGUUCAUAUCGACGGCGGUGUUUGGCACCUCGAUGUCGGCUCAUCACAUCCUGGGGCUGAAGUAGGUCCCAAGGGUAUGGCUGUUCGCCAUUUAAAGUGGUACGCGAGCUGGGUUUAGAACGUCGUGAGACAGUUCGGUCCCUAUCUGCCGUGGGCGCUGGAGAACUGAGGGGGGCUGCUCCUAGUACGAGAGGACCGGAGUGGACGCAUCACUGGUGUUCGGGUUGUCAUGCCAAUGGCACUGCCCGGUAGCUAAAUGCGGAAGAGAUAAGUGCUGAAAGCAUCUAAGCACGAAACUUGCCCCGAGAUGAGUUCUCCCUGACUCCUUGA
rnacentral:rRNA from 1 species